rnacentral:rRNA from 1 species
AAUAUUGGACAAUGGGGGCAACCCUGAUCCAGCCAUGCCGCGUGUGUGAAGAAGGUCUUCGGAUUGUAAAGCACUUUAAGUUGGGAGGAAGGGCUUUAGGUUAAUACCCAUCAGUUUUGACGUUACCAACAGACUAACACACGGCUACCUCGGUGCCAGCAGCCGCGGUAAUACAGAGGGUGCAAGCGUUAAUCGGAAUUACUGGGCGUAAAUCGCGCGUAGGUGGUUCAGUAAGAUGGGUGUGAAAUCCCCGGGCUUAACCUGGGAACUGCUUUCAUAACUGCUGAGCUAGAGUACUGUAGAGGGUAGUGGAAUUUCCUGUGUAGCGGUGAAAUGCGUAGAUAUAGGAAGGAACACCAGUGGCGAAGGCGACUACCUGGACUGAUACUGACACUGAGGUGCGAAAGCGUGGGGAGCAAACAG